rnacentral:rRNA from 1 species
CGGGACGGGUGAGUAACGCGUGGGUAACCUACCCUGUACACACGGAUAACAUACCGAAAGGUAUGCUAAUACGGGAUAAUAUAUUUGAGAGGCAUCUCUUGAAUAUCAAAGGUGAGCCAGUACAGGAUGGACCCGCGUCUGAUUAGCUAGUUGGUAAGGUAACGGCUUACCAAGGCGACGAUCAGUAGCCGACCUGAGAGGGUGAUCGGCCACAUUGGAACUGAGACACGGUCCAG